GGAGAGGUGGCAGAGUGGUUGAAUGCGGCGCACUCGAAAUGCGUUAACAGGCUCAAACCUGUUCGGGGGUUCAAAUCCCCCCCUCUCCG
rnacentral:tRNA from 1 species